UGGUUGCCUGCUUUGGAGUGGUUGGUAAACCCUAAUUCUUGGAAAGGGGACGCUUUCCUGGAAGGUAUUGGAGGAAGUUGAAGAGCAGAAGGCAAGUUCACAGGAAGUUCUUCCUGGUGAACUACUGCUCUAUGCCCGGCCAUCUGUUACUGAGUGUUCCCUUGAAGGUGAGAGUUGGAUGCAUUCCUUCCUGAAGGGCUAUGCCAGUGGUGGUUUGGGCUCACUUUACUUUGCCAAGCCCUCAGUGAAGAAACAAGUCUGCUAAAAAAAUACGUGAAAUAAAAAAAAUCCAACAAAGAGCAGGCAGAACGGCUUGGGUUGGAAGGGAUCUUAAGGAUAAUCUAGUUCUACCUCCUCUGCUAUAGACUGGCACGCUUCCUGCUGUUGCUGUCAUUUCAAGGCAGCUGCAAGAAGGACCCAGGAUGUGACAGAGGCCUGGGAUUGGUGCAGGGCCUUGAGGAAUGUAGCUUGCAGGUAAAAAUGGUGGCUGCACCCAAAGGACAUAACUUCACCUGAAGCUGUAAGCAGUGAGACCUA